rnacentral:rRNA from 1 species
CCUACGGGGGGCUGCAGUAAGGAAUAUUGGACAAUGGCGGAGACGCUGAUCCAGCUAUCCCGCGUGCAGGAUGAAGGACCUCUGGUUUGUAAACUGCUUUAGACUGGGGCGAAAAAGUGGGAUUUAUCCUACAUUGACGGUACCAGUAAAAUAAGCACCGGCUAACUCCGUGCCAGCAGCCGCGGUAAUACGGAGGGUGCAAGCAUCAUCCGGAAUCAAGGGGGAGUAGGCGGCUUGCUAAGUCAGGAUAGAAAGGCCACGGCUUAACCGUGGGAUUGCUUUUGAUACUGGCGAGCUUGGAUUAGGACGAGGUUGGCGGAAUGUGGCAAGUAGCGGUGAAAUGCAUAGAUAUGCCAUAGAAUACCGAUUGCGAAGGCAGCUGACUAGACCUAUAUUGACGCUGAGGCACGAAAGCGUGGGGAGCGAACAGGAUUAGAUACCCUUGUAGUC